AUGGGAUCGACGGCGCUCGGUGGUGCGGCUCCGGCGCGCGCCGGAUUGGCCCCCAAGAGUGGAGUCCUUGGAUCUACUUUCAAGCCAUGUGGUGGUUUCAAGCUCAAAACAACUACUAAGGUUGGACGCUCUUCAGUUUGUGUGAGGGUAUCCAUUGCUUCUUCACCACAAAAACAGUACUCUCCUAAGACAUCAGCAGUUAAAUCAGGGGAGGAAGUGCGCAUUGCGGUGCUAGGAGCCAGCGGUUAUACCGGGGCUGAGAUUGUUCGGCUUCUAGCAAACCACCCUCAGUUCCGUAUCACAGUGAUGACCGCAGACAGAAAAGCUGGUGAACAGUUUGGAUCUGUAUUUCCUCACUUGAUAACACAAGACCUGCCAAAUUUAGUUGCGAUUAAAGAUGCAGAUUUUUCAGAUGUUGAUGCUGUUUUUUGUUGCUUGCCACAUGGAACAACACAGGAAAUUAUUAAAGGCUUACCCCAACAACUGAAGAUUGUUGAUCUCUCUGCGGAUUUCCGAUUGCGUAACAUCAAUGAGUAUGCUGAGUGGUAUGGCCAUGCUCAUAGGGCACCAGAACUUCAGGAAGAGGCUGUUUAUGGUUUGACGGAGGUUCUUCGAGAUGAAAUAAGAAAUGCACGGCUUGUUGCCAACCCGGGAUGUUAUCCCACGUCUAUUCAGCUCCCUCUUGUUCCUCUAAUAAAGGCAAAACUGAUCAAGCUGAGCAAUAUAAUAAUUGAUGCAAAAUCUGGGGUUACCGGGGCAGGACGUGGAGCUAAGGAAGCAAAUCUGUACACCGAGAUAGCUGAAGGCAUUCAUGCUUAUGGAAUAAAAGGCCACCGUCAUGUUCCUGAGGUUGAACAAGGAUUGUCAGAGGCUGCUGAAUCCAAAGUUACUAUCAGCUUCACUCCAAAUCUUAUCUGCAUGAAACGUGGGAUGCAAUCUACUAUGUUUGUUGAAAUGGCACCUGGAGUGACUGUCAGUGAUUUGUAUCAGCAUCUCAAGUCUACUUAUGAGGGUGAAGAAUUUGUCAAGCUGUUAAAUGGCAGCAAUGUUCCUCACACACGCCAUGUUGUUGGAUCAAAUUACUGCUUCAUGAAUGUCUUCGAGGACAGAAUUCCUGGAAGGGCAAUCAUCAUCUCUGUCAUAGACAAUCUUGUAAAGGGAGCAUCUGGCCAGGCCGUGCAGAACCUCAAUCUGAUGAUGGGACUGCCUGAGAACAUGGGGCUGCAAUAUCAGCCCCUAUUUCCUUGA
rnacentral:rRNA from 1 species